rnacentral:rRNA from 1 species
AUUGAACGCUGGCGGCAGGCCUAACACAUGCAAGUCGAGCGGAGCGGCGGACGGGUGGGUAAUGCCUAGGAGUCUGCCUGGUAGUGGGGGAUGACGUCCGGAUACGGGCGCUAAUACCGCAUACUAUCAGAUGAGCCUAGGUGGGAGUAGCUAGUUGGUGGGGUAAAGGACAACCUAGGCGACGAUCCGUAACUGGUCUGAGAGGAUGAUCGGUCACACUGGAACUUAGACACGGUCCAGAAUCCUACGGGAGGCAGCAUUGGGGAAUAUUGGACAAUGGGCGAAAGCCUGAGCCAGCCAUGCCGCGUGUGUGAAGAAGGUCUUCGGAUUGUAAAGCACUUUAAGUUGGGAGGCGUUACCAACAGAAUAAGCACCGGCUAACUUCGUGCCAGCAGCCGCGGUAAUUC